rnacentral:rRNA from 1 species
CAGCCGCCGCGGGAAUACGAAGGGUGCAAGCGUUACUCGGAAUUACUGGGCGUAAAGCGUGCGUAGGUGGUGGUUUAAGUCCGUUGUGAAAGCUCUGGGCUCAACCUGGGAAUUGCAGUGGAUACUGGGUCACUAGAGUGUGGUAGAGGAUAGUGGAAUUUCCGGUGUAGCAGUGAAAUGCGUAGAGAUCGGGAGGAACAUCAGUGGCGAAGGCGGCCAUCUGGGACAACACUGACGCUGAGGCACGAAAGCGUGGGGAGCAAACAGGAUUAGAUACCCCUGUAGUCCCUGUCUCUUAUAC